rnacentral:misc_RNA from 1 species
AUUUUUUUUUUUUUUUUUUUUGGGAGGAGGGGAGGGUGGUUGGUGCGGUGUUCACAGCAUCUAAUAUGGACUUAUAGUUACUGCUGAUUCUGUUGUCUCUGCUGUACAAAAUUGGAGUGAUUUUGUGAUGCAUUCUGAAGUGCCAACAUACUGGACUGUAAAUUCUGUGCAUUUGGUGGCAUAUUACCAAAUGCACCUUGAGAACCAAGCUGCUGCUGUUGUUGAGGCUGCUGCGGCUGUAUGGGCAUCAUACCACCAGGAUUUGACACUCCCAUAUUAAACACUAGCAAAAACCCCAACUGAAUUUCAGCCUCACACAUCAACACUCAAAAAACCCGAAUUAUUUGUUUGUAACAAAUGCUUAUGGCCUUUAUGGCACCCAUCCACUUAAAAUUUACAAAAGAAAAGCAGUUGCAGCCUUAUAGGCUAGCAAUUAAGGAAGAGACCAAAAAAGCUGGGGAAAUUUAGGAUAGAAAGAAAGAAAAAAUGGAAGAUAAAACAUCAAAGAAAUGCAAAGUAAAAAACAAAUAACAUAGCAAGGCGAAGAAAAAGGCAAACAAAGGGUGUAGUUCAUACCUUGAUCAUUCAUAAUUUGGGAUGCAUGACUCCUCUGGGGAUUGCUACCAGUUAAUCCAAACUGCAUUCGUGGCACAAGCGGUUGAGACGACAUUGUAGCCGACAUGUUUGGAAUCUAGAAAACGAGAAUAAAUUUACAUUGUUAGCCCAGCAUUGUGGAAAUAAUCAAUUUUGAUGACUUUUGUUGAAAAAUUGCCUUGUGCAGUGUUAGAAUAUCAAGGAGCCUAAUGGUGGUCAAAACUAAACAUAGCAGGAAGGGGUUAAAAACAAGAAUAAAUUUGAUUAAUACCUAAUAUUAAAAUAUAAAAAGAUAGUCUGCAUUGAUGGAACAAAUACGCAAUUUAUAGAUGCAAACCAGUCAAAUUUCAACCAUCACCAUAUUAAUCAAAAUUAACAAAAGAAACAAGAGAAAAUCAAAUUUAACAAAAGAAACAUGAGAAAAUUUGCCUAACAAUUACAUCUGAUACAAAAGGGAUCAUACAAGAGUAACAAGACUACGUGAGUAAAUGAACAUAUCUGACCAUCUGAGUAUUUGGUGCCACCUGAGCAGCAUUAAACAGUGCAUUAUUUGCAGUACCAGAAAACUGGCUUAAAUGGCGAUUUAACUGAUUCCCUUGGUUAAGUGGACUUUGACCCAUGCCAUGCUGAACAUGCCCAGAGGGCAGUUGCCUACCCUGAAAUUGCUGGUGUCCCAGUGGCUGAGAAAAUUGCAUCUGAUGCUGUCCAUGUAACUGGUGAGAAAUUAAUUUGCGCCAAACAAUUAUUACAAAAAAAAAAAAAUAAAAGGGAUGCAUCAAUCAGUUAUAAAAUUCCAGACUGAGAAAAGGAAUCAGGUUAAGUCCUUAAUUCAGUUACAUGGUAAAGUAGGGGUGGCCACCAGGCCAGUUCCAGUUCAAGGUUCAUGAGAAACUUGAACUGGACCAAAGGGUCCCCCUCGGUUCCGGUUUUGAUCAAAUCCAACAGUUAGAAUUUUUUAUUCUUCUUUUUUGGGGUGUGUUUGUAAGUACAAUGUCAUAGGCUCCAAGAAGGGAAAAAUAAACACGAAAACAAUGUUGACUGAAUUAAAUGAUGAUUAUAAGAAUAUAACUGCAACAUUACCUGCUGAAACUUCUGCUGACUCUGUCCCUGCAAAUCAUGCAGCUGUGGCAGCUGGUUCUGUCCCAAUCCUUGCAUUGAAGAUUGCCUAAAUUGUUGCUGAGCAAGGAGUUGCUGUUGAUGUGGUAAUUGCAUCAUUUUUUGCCUUUGCUGUUGCUGCUGCUGCUGCUGUUGUUGUUGGAAGUUGUGAGAGUUGUUGCUGUUGCUGCAACUGAGGAUACUGUUGUUGAUGUUGCAGCUGUGGUUGCAUCUGCUGGUGAUGCUGCUGUUGCAUUUUUCUUGCUGCUGUUGCAUUUUUCUUGCUGCUGUUGCAUUUUUCU